rnacentral:rRNA from 1 species
UGGGGAAUAUUGCACAAUGGGCGCAAGCCUGAUGCAGCCAUGCCGCGUGUGUGAAGAAGGCCUUCGGGUUGUAAGCACUUUCAGCGAGGAGGAAGGUGGUGAGCUUAAUACGCUCAUCAAUUGACGUUACUCGCAGAAGAAGCACCGGCUAACUCCGUGCCAGCAGCCGCGGUAAUACGGAGGGUGCAAGCGUUAAUCGGAAUUACUGGGCGUAAAGCGCACGCAGGCGGUUUGUUAAGUCAGAUGUGAAAUCCCCGGGCUCAACCUGGGAACUGCAUUUGAAACUGGCAAGCUAGAGUCUCGUAGAGGGGGGUAGAAUUCCAGGUGUAGCGGUGAAAUGCGUAGAGAUCUGGAGGAAUACCGGUGGCGAAGGCGGCCCCCUGGACGAAGACUGACGCUCAGGUGCGAAAGCGUGGGGCAGCAAACAGGAUUAGAUACCCUGGUAGUCCAGCGCUGUAAAACGAUGUCGAUUUGGAGGUUGUGCCCUUGAGGCGUGGCUUCCGGAGCUAACGNNUUAAAUCGA